rnacentral:rRNA from 1 species
CGGGAAAGCUCUGGCGGCGUGGGAUGGGGUCGCGUCCUAUCAGCUUGUUGGCGGGGUGAGGGCCCACCAAGGCUUCGACGGGUAGCCGGCCUGAGAGGGCGACCGGCCACAUUGGGACUGAGAUACGGCCCAGACUCCUACGGGAGGCAGCAGUGGGGAAUAUUGCACAAUGGGCGCAAGCCUGAUGCAGCGACGCCGCGUGCGGGAUGGAGGCCUUCGGGUUGUAAACCGCUUUUGUUUGGGAGCAAGCCCUUCGGGGUGAGUGUACCUUUCGAAUAAGCACCGGCUAACUACGUGCCAGCAGCCGCGGUAAUACGUAGGGUGCGAGCGUUAUCCGGAUUUAUUGGGCGUAAAGGGCUCGUAGGCGGUUCGUCGCGUCCGGUGUGAAAGUCCAUCGCCUAACGGUGGAUCUGCGCCGGGUACGGGCGGGCUGGAGUGCGGUAGGGGAGACUGGAAUUCCCGGUGUAACGGUGGAAUGUGUAGAUAUCGGCAAGAACACCAAUGGCGAAGGCAGGUCUCUGGGCCGUUACUGACGCUGAGGAGCGAAAGCGUGGGGAGCGAACAGGAUUAGAUACCCUGGUAGUCCACGCCGUAAACGGUGAAUGCUGGAUGUGGGGCCCUUCCACGGGUCCCGUGUCGGAACCAACGCGUUAAGCAUCCCGCCUGGGGAGUACGGCCGCAAGGUUAAAACUCAAAGAAAUUGACGGGGGCCCGCACAAGCGGCGGAGCAUGCGGAUUAAUUCGAUGCAACGCGAAGAACCUUACCUGGGCUUGACAUGUUCCCGGCGACGGCGGAGACGUCGUUUCCCUUCGGGGCGGGUUCACAGGUGGUGCAUGGUCGUCGUCAGCUCGUGUCGUGAGAUGUUGGGUCAAGCCCCGCAACGAGCGCAACCCUCGCCCCGUGUUGCCAGCGCGUCAUGGCGGGAACUCACGGGGGACCGCCGGGGUUAACCCGGAGGAAGGUGGGGAUGACGUCAAAUCAUCAUGCCCCUUACGUCCAGGGCUUCACGCAUGCUACAAUGGCCGGUACAACGGGAAGCGACAUGGU